GGGGUCAUAGCUCAGUUGGUAGAGCGUCGCAAUGGCAUUGCGAAGGUCGGGAGUUCAAGCCUCCCUGAUUCCA
rnacentral:tRNA from 1 species